ensembl:lncRNA
ACCAUAAUAAAUACUUUCUUUCUGUCCCAAACAGUCACUGUGUGUGUUGCUGAGCUGAAGUUGGAGGCAACUGAUGGUGAUAAUGUUACUAUACCCUUCAAAACUGCUGAACUGGAGAGAGCCGACCGAGUGAGGAUAACUUUUACAAGAGACAAUCAGAAAAAGUUGAUUGCGCAGUACUGUCGCUGUGCUGAUUGUGGAGACUGUAUUGUUGUGGAAACACCGGGAGUCUUACUGCGAAUUGAAGAAGGAACUGCGUCCUUGAUUCUUCAAGAUGUCAGCUCCAGAAGCUCAGGCCUUUAUAAAGCACAAGUCUUCAAUGGAAAGCAUGUGUCUGAGAUACAAGCUACACUUGUUGUCAAAGAACCAGCAUUGUCCUCCACCAAAGAGCCACCACAGACCUCCACCCCAAAACCUCCCGACACCUCUGGACACCUGUGGCUGUGUGCUUUACUGAUUCUUCCAGUCAUCCUGGGUGUGGUUGUUUAUUGUUUCUGGAGGAAGAAAUGCAGGAGGGAACGUGAGGCAUUACCUGAUGCUGAAGAAGCCAGAGAAACCCCUGCUGUCUCCAGGCACAGCAUCUGCAAAAAAAACAUGUGUAAAAUAAAUUGCACAAAUGGCAGUGACUGCAGCAGUGUCCUUUAAGGCUUGUAGAGAAGACACUGAAGAUCAGCUCGUGGACANNNNNNNNNNNAAGCAGUCUGCUCUAGACAACUCAACAUCACUGACAUAGAAACCAGUGCAGAUAUUCCAGAAAAUAACAGCAAUAGAUUGCCCCCUACAGGUCAAUCAACCCUAGCUCAGUAUAUAACAAAGACAAUCAUUUAUUUAGAUAUGAUUUCAAUCAGAUACACACAUACUCAGAGUUGGACGGAGAGUGAGAAUGUAGCCUUUGAGGCACUGAACCCUUUUAAUAUUUAUGGAGUGAGAGAAAAUGUAUUCACUCAAAAAUAAAGAUUUAAUGGAGAAAGUAAGAUUUCUCUCU